rnacentral:rRNA from 1 species
UACGUAGGGUGCGAGCGUUAAUCGGAAUAACUGGGCGUAAAGGGUGCGUAGGCGGAUAAAUAAGUUAGAUGUGAAAAGUCUGGGCUCAACCUAGGUCGGGCAUUUAAUACUGUAUAUCUAGAGUUAGUAAGAGGGGGGUAGAAUUCCAAGUGUAGCAGUGAAAUGCGUAGAGAUUUGGAGGAAUACCGAUGGCGAAGGCAGCCCCCUGGUAUGAAACUGACGCUGAGGCACGAAAGCGUGGGUAGCAAACAGG